rnacentral:lncRNA from 1 species
GGGGGGAGGGGCGGGCAUCAUUGGAAGAUCUCCCAUCUCUGACUCAAAAUAUUGAUAAUUUUUAUCUUGUCCCUGACAGCUUCAGACAUAAUAAUUUUGAACCUUCUAUUUUUUUAUAUAGACAAUACCCUUUUCUAAAAUUGAGAAUGGAAAUGGGGAAUGUGUCAAAGAGACAACAAUCCGACCAUAGAACAGACAACAACAUAAGGUCAACAAUAGGUCUUCAAUGCAGCGCGAAACUCCCGCACCCGGAGGCGUCCUUUAGCUUGCCUCUAAACAAAUAUAUAUCUACUAGUUCAGUGAUAAUGGACGUCAUACUAAACAAACUAAACACAAAAAAAUAAAAAUAAAAAUAAUACAAGACUUACAAAGGCCAGAGGCUCCUGACUUGGGACAGGUGCAAAAAUGCGGUGGGGUUAAACAUGUUUUUGAGAUCUCUCCCCCAAUACAUCUGGCCAAAGUAAAAAAGUAAACGCAUAACCAUACGCA